rnacentral:rRNA from 1 species
AGUGAACGCUGGCGGUAGGCCUAACACAUGCAAGUCGAACGGCAGCACAGUAAGAGCUUGCUCUCACGGGCGGAGAGUGGCGGACGGGGGCGGAAUACUUCGGAAUCUACAUUUUCGUGGGGGAUAACGUAGGGAAACUUACGCUAAUAACGCAUACGACCUACGGGUGAAAGCCGGGGAUCUUCGGACCUUGUGCGAUUGAAUGAGCCGAUGUCGGAUUAGAUAGAUGGCGGGGUAAAGGCCCACCAAGGCGACGAUCCGUAGCUGGUCUGAGAGGAUGGUCAGCCACACUGUAACUGAGACACGUUCCAGACUCCUACAGGAGGCAGCAGUGGAGAAUAUUGGACAAGGGGCGCAUGCCGGAUCCAGCCAUACCGCGUGGGUGAAGAAGGCCUUCUGGUUGUAAAGCCCUUUUGUUGGGAAAGAAAAGCAGCAGGUUAAUACCCCGCUGUUCUGACGGUACCCAAAGAAUAAGCACCGGCUAACUUCGUG